rnacentral:tRNA from 1 species
GCGGGCGUGGCGGAAUUGGUAGACGCGCUGGAUUCAAAAUCCAGUUCUGGUGACAGAGUGGGAGUUCGAGUCUCCCCGCCCGCACCA